GAUGAACGCUAGCGGCAGGCCUAACACAUGCAAGUCGAGGGAGAAGCCCUUCGGGGCAGAAACCGGCGCACGGGUGCGUAACGCGUAUGCAACCUACCUUUCACAGGGGGAUAGCCCGAAGAAAUUUGGAUUAAUACCCCAUAAUAUUAUUGGAUGGCAUCAUUUGAUAAUUAAAAUUACGAUGGUGAAAGAUGGGCAUGCGUCCUAUUAGCUAGUUGGAGUGGUAACGGCACCCCAAGACUACGAUAGGUAGGGGUCCUGAGAGGGAGAUCCCCCACACUGGUACUGAGACAGGGACCAGACUCCUACGGGAGGCAGCAGUGAGGAAUAUUGGUCAAUGGUCGGAAGACUGAACCAGCCAUGCCGCGUGCAGGAAGAAUGCCUUAUGGGUUGUAAACUGCUUUUAUAUGGGAAGAAUAAGGAGUACGUGUACUUUGAUGACGUACCAUAUGAUAAGC
rnacentral:rRNA from 1 species